rnacentral:tRNA from 1 species
ACACUGGUGGUUCAGUGGAAUUCUCGCCUUCCAAGCAAGAGACCUGGAUUGGAUUCCUGGCCAAUGUA